AAGUGAAAUGAUGGUUACCAUCUUUCGGGACUGACCUGGAAUGGAGAAAAUAUACUCUGCUGAUCACUU